rnacentral:rRNA from 1 species
UACAGAGGUCUCAAGCGUUGUUCGGAUUCAUUGGGCGUAAAGGGUGCGUAGGUGGCGCGUAAGUCGAGUGUGAAAUUUCGGAGCUUAACUCCGAAACUGCAUUGAUACUGCGGUGCUUGAGGACUGGAGAGGAGACUGGAAUUCAGGUGUAGCAGUGAAAUGCGUAGAUAUCAUGAGGAAGACCAGUGGCGAAGGCGGGUCUCUGGACAGUUCCUGACACUGAGACACGAAGGCCAGGGGAGCAAACGGG